CCCCAGACCUACUGAGUCAGCGGUGGGAACCGGGCCCGGGAAUCUGUUAACAAGCCCUCUGGGCGAUUCUGAUGCAAAUCAAAGUGUGAGAGUCACUGUUCCACACUGUUCCAUUGGCAGGACUAAAGGUAAGUAUUUGUUGAGUUCUGAUAACUUGAUUACAGGAGGUGGCACAUGCCUGUCAUCCCAGCGGCUCCACAGACUGAGGAAGAUGGCAAGUUCAAAGCCAAACCCAGCCUCAGUAAUUUAGCAAUUUAGAGUCUCAAAAACUAAAAAUAAAUGAAUAAAUAAAAACAAAACAAAACAAACAAACAACAACAAACAAAAAAACAAAACAACAACAACAACAACAAAAAAACAGGGCUGGGCUGGGGUUAUAGCUUAGUGGUUAAACACCCCUGGGUUCAAUCCCUGGUACCAGAAAACACAAACAAACAAACAAAACAAUACAAAAAAAUCUACUACAAAUUGGACUCUGUCCUUGUCUUCUUUCCCACUCGGAUGGAAACUGUGGACAAAGUAUGAAAGCAUUAAAGAACAACAAAGCACACUUUGCCAAUCAUUGCAGUGUCCAAAGCUCCUUCUUCUGUAAGAGAAUCAGAAGAUACAUUUCUUCUCCAAGGUUUGGCACAACUUCUAAUGAGCAAAAUGAUGAGAUUAGACUGGUACCCUCAGUCUUUUUCCAAAUUAUAACAUGUUAAUAUAACCAAUGGAUUAAAUUAGAAAUCAUGAUUUCCAUCCACACAACACUCAAUACACAUAGCUGCUUAGAGGCAACAAUUAUCCUUGGAAAUUAAAGACCAAAACAGCACAGUAUCAUCUAACUAUACCCUCAAUGCAAAUAGUGUUAUCCAAAGAAGCUCCCAGUAAGACAACACAUGUAAAAAAUGUUAAUUUAGAUAGACUGAUAAUUUAAAAACCAACAUAGGCCCCUCUUUUGGAUCAUUUAUGUAAAACUGUUAGUAAGUGUUCCAAGUUUUAACACUUGUCUAUUCAAGACAAAUUACUAAUUUGCUAAAAUUUUAAUUUUUCUUAAUCAGGGAAGUUUGCACCUAGUGGAUCGUCUUUUUUUUUUUUCCUUCCUAAUUAACAUGCUCUUUUCUUUCUGUUUGCCGGAUAUCCCCUACUUAUUCAUUUAUUUUUUGGUUUUUCUUUAUCACUUUGUUUUACAUUUUUUUUUUUAUAAAGCACAUAGUUGGGUUUGUUUUUAAGCCAGUCUGACAGCCUAUGUCCUUCCUUCCUUCCUUCCUUCCUUCCUUCCUUCCUUCCUUCCUUCCUUCCUCUCUUUCUCUCUCUUUCUUUAUUUUUUCUAGAUAUUGGGAAUUGAACCUGGGGCCACUGAACUACAUUCCCAGCCCCUUUUAUUUUGAAUUAGUUAAGUUGCUGAGGCUGGCUUUGAACUUGUGAUCCUCCUGCCUCAGCCUCCUGAGUUGCUGGAAUUAUGGGUGUGCAUCACAACGUCUAGCUCAAUCUAUCUUUUAAUGGAUUAAUUCAGCUCAUUUACAUUUAAUUAUAUUAGUAAUCUAUUCUUCUACGUGUGUUUAUUAUUUGUUUUACAUUGCUGUUUCCUUUUUUAUCCUCUGUCUUAUCUUUACUAGUUUCAUCAAGUUGUCAUUCAUUCCCUUUUACUUGUUGUGAUUUAAUUGGUAUACAACAAACAACACAUUUUAUAGUGUACAAGUUCAUAAGUUUUGAACCUAUGUACAUGGCCUGAAACUACUACAAAAAUCAAGAUAAUAAAUAUAGCUACCUCCUAAAACAUUUCUAGGGCCCUUUUAUAUUUUUUUUCCUCCACUCCCUACUCCCAUCCCCAGGCAAUUAAUGAUCAACUUUUGUUAAUAACUCAGUAAUAUAUAAUAAUAUAUAAUAACGUAGUAACUUUUUGUUACUAUGGUUUGCAGUUUAAACAAUUUUAUAUAAAUGGAAUCAUACAAAUUUAUGUUUUUCUGUUUGGCUUCUUUCAAUCAUUUCUCAUCAUCAUCAUCUUUAUUUUUGAGACUCAUCAAUGUAUCAGGUGUAACAACAGCUUGUUCCUUUUCAUUGCUGAGUAGUAUUCUAGCAGUGGAUACCCCCAGUUAGAGUAUCCAUUCACCUAUUAAAUAUUUGGGUUGUUCACUGAUUUGAAUAUUACAAACAAAGUAUCCAUGAACAUUCAUGUGUAGGUCUUAUUGUGGAUGUAUGCUUUUAUUUCUGUUGGCUAUGGAUGUAGGCAUGGAAUGGUAGUAGUUUGGUUAACAUUUAAGGGAAUUUUCAUACUGUUUUCUAAAGUAGUUCCAUUUUAUAACUUACUGUCAGUGUAUGCAAAUGCAGUUCAUUUACACUUCACCAAUCCUAGAAUGUUAAGUCUUUAAUUUUAGUCACUGCAUUAGAUAUAUAAUGCUAUCUCAUUGUGGUUUGAAUCUGCACUUCCCUAAUGAUUGAUUGUGUUGAGCAUGUUUUAAAAAAAUAUUUUUUGCCAUAUAUAUCUCUGACCACUUUUUAAAUGAUGGUUUGUAUUCUUAUUAGUUUUGAGAGUUCAUUGUAUAUUCUGAAUAUAUAAGUUCUUUCUUAGAUAUAUAACUUGUAAAUAUUUUCUGUUAAUCAGUUAUCUUUUCAUUCUUUAUUUCUUAUUUAUUUAUUGUUUAUUCUAAUUUGUUAUAUAUGACAGCAGAAUGCAUUACAAUUCAUAUUACACAUAUGGAGCACAAUUUUUCACGUAUCUGGUUGUACACCAAGUAUCAUCACACCAUCCGUGUCUUCAUACAUGUACUUAGGGUAAUGAUAUCCAUCUUAUUCCACCAUCUUUUCUACCUCCAUCCCCACUCCCUCCCCCACCCAUUUAUCUUUUUAUUCUUAAAAGUAUCCUUCAAAAGGCAGAAUUUUUUAUUGUAUAAAUUCCAUUUUAUGGACUGAAUAUUGAGUAUCACAGUUAAGAAAUCUUCACCUGAGGAGGGAAGAAUAGAAUUCAUUGGAUUCAGCGAAGGGGAAUGAAGGGAAGGGAGGGAGGCUGGGAACCGGAAAGACAGUGGGAUGAAUGGGACAUAACUUUCCUGUGUUCACAUAUGAAUGUAUGACCAGUGUAACUCCACAUCAUGCACAACCACAAGAAUGGGAAGUUAUACUCCAUGUAGUUUGAUAUGUCAAAAUACACCCUACUGUCAUGUAUAUCCAAAAAGAACAGAUAAUUUUUUAAAAAGUGGGGAAAAAAUUGUCACAUAACAUAAGGUCACAAAGGGUUUCUCCUAGGUUUGCUUCUAGAAAUAUUACAGUCUAAGGUUUCACGUUCAGGGCUGUGAUGAGUCUUGAGUUACGUGAGUUUCCAUUUCCAGGGGUCUUCUAGCUCCUCUGCUGAUCUGCACUUCCCUGGGGCCUCCUUUUCCUUCCUUGUUUUUACUUCUCUGAAGGAGUUCAAGGAUUUCCUUUAUCAUUUUUUUUUUCAGUGUGGAUCCGCUGAAGUCACAUUUUUCAAAUUUUAUAUGUCCUAAGAUGCAUUUAUUUCACUUUCAUUUUUGACAGAUAUUUUUGCAGAGCGUAGACAUUGUUUUUUCUUUCAGUACUUCAAAGAUAUUGCUUCAUUGUGUUUUACUCACGUUGCUUAUAAUAAAAACAUGUCAAAAUGAUUAUCUUUAUUCCUUUGAAGGUAAAAGUGUCUUUUUUAUCCCUCUGGCUGGUUUUAAGAUUUUUUUCUUUAAUAUGGAUUUUGAGAAAUUUGGUUAUCAUAUGUCUUGAUAUGAUUUUUUUUCAUGUUUCCUGUGCUCAAGGUUUGUUGAACUUCUUGGAUCUGUUAAAUAUAUCUCCACAUUUUGAAAAAAUUUCAGCUAUGAUAGAUUCAUAAAUAUUAUUCUGUCCCUCUCUCCCCCUCCUCUCUUUUGAGACUUUAAUUGCACCUAUGUUAGGAAGCUUGAUGUUUUUCCAAGUUCAAUCAUGCUCUAUUGAUUUAUACUUGAGUGUAUCUUUUCCUAAUAUGUAUAUUUUGGGUUAGUGUCCACUGUUAUGUCUUUAAAUUUAUUAGUCUUUUUUUCUGCAUCAAAUCUGCUUUUAAUCCAUCUAGUGUAUUUUUAACUCCAGAUAUUGUAAUUCUCAUCUCAGGAAGUUCAACUUGGUUCUCUUAAAAGUGUGUACCAUGUAUCUACUUAACAUGGUCAAUACUUCCUCUAACUUUCUGAACAUGCAGAAUAUAGUUGUAACUGUUUUAAUAUCCUUUUCUGCUAAUUCUAGCACGUGGGUCCAUAAAUUUGAAAGCAGAAAAUACUUACCAGAAUGAAAUCUUGCUCUGUAUUUAGAAAUCAGAACCCAUCUCUGUAAGAUUGUGUGUAAAAGAAAAACAAAAUUCCUUUUCAAAAGCCAAUUCAAAGGCCAGGCUCUGUGGUACAUGCCUAUACUCCCAGUGGUUUGGGGGGCUGAGAAAGGAGAAUCACAAGUUCAAAGCCAGCCUCAGCAAGAGUGAAGUACUAAGCAACUCAGUGAGACCCUGUCUCUAAAUGAAAUACAAAAUAAGGCUGGGGAUGUGACUCGGUAGUUGAAUGCCCCUGAGUUCAACCCCCGGUACCCCAUCCCCAACAACAAAAACAACAAAAAAUCAAUUAGAGCCUGGAGUGGUGUUUCAGGCCUAUAAUCUGAGCUCCCCAGGAGGCCAAGGCAGGAGGAUUACAAGUUCAAAGCCAGCCUGCACAAUUUAGUGAAACCCUGUCUCAAAAUAAAAAAAGAUAUUAAAAAAAGAGCUGGGCAGUAUAGUUCAGUGGUACAGCACCCUUGCAUUCAACCCCCAGUACUAGAAAAAAAAAUCAAUUAGAUCUCAAACAUUUAUCUCCUGUGUAAUAUGGCCUUUAAAACCUCUAAAGGCCUUUAAUACUAAUUAAUCUUCAAGAGAAGUGGUAAUAAAAUUAAAAACUGUUACUUCAGAGUUAUGUGAAUGAUCGUUUUUCUAUGCCCCUGUAUGCUUCAAGGCCAAUGUACCAGGAAAUAUGAUGAAUUUCUUAUCUUCCAGAAUGUUGCUAGGGUUUUACUAUCAACAAGACUGGAAAUGGGUUAAAGCAUCAUAGUCCAGGUAUUAAGGGUUCACCCAGAACAAGACAGCAUGGAUCUUGGGUUUGGACUGGAGAAUAAAGGUACACGUGAGGAUGUCAGAGGGGCUGAAAGCCUCAGGAAAAACACAGCAUAUUUUGGGACAUCCAUUUUGCCUCUUGGUAAAGUUUUCAAACACUGGUUAAAACAAACAGAUAUAUUAUGCUGUAAAAUGAAAAUUCUGCAGAUCUUUAAGAUAAACUGUUUUAAGGUUUGCCUACGUACUAGGCAUAUUAUUUUUAUUAUUAUUAUUAUUUUUUACUUUUUAAUUUUUUUAUGGUAUUGGGGAUUGAACCCAGGGUCUUGCACGUGCUAGGAAAGCAUUCUAACACUGAGCCACACCUCCAGCCUAAGAUGAGAUAUUUAGACUUAGAAGAAAUACCGAGCCUUGGGUUACUUUAGGCCAUGCCCUCUGUGGGCAGGAAGGUUCUGUUACUUCGGUAAAAAAAGAGUGAGAAACCUUGUUCUAAAACCAUGGUGCCCCUAAAAAGGGAGGGAGAUAGCUCCUGACGGAAGGCCUGCACCUGUGCUGAUAGGCCAUGCACAUGCGGACAUCCUCCAGAGAUAGCAAAUGGGAGCAAACCAUUGCACACAUUCAUCAUCCAUUCAUCCAUCUUUUAAGCAUUUUAAAAAUGCCUCCUAUGUAGCAAAGAUUGCAAUAGAUGCUGAAGUCAGUAACAGGAUUCAGUGCCUAGUGAAGGAAUUCUCUAAGUUCUUCUUGCCCCAACAUAUAUCAUUAAAAAAACAAAAACAAAAACAACAACAACAAAAACUCUUGAUCUGUGCCAGACAUGGUUUCAAGUGAUUUACAGGAAAUAACUUGUUUAAUCUUUGUAUUCAUAAUCCUCUAUGAAUGUAGAUGCUCCCGUCAUCCCAUCACACAGCGGGUGUACUGUCCAGGCUGAGAGUCAUUGUAUAGUGGGACAGACAUUUCUAUAAAAAAUCAAAACACUAUGAGGGUGGGGUCGAGGCUCGGUGGUAGAGUGCUUUCCCCGAGUGCUCAAGGUCCUGGUUUGAUUCUCAGACCACAAAAACUAAAACAAAACAACAAAUUUUAACAUUAUGGUAUAAGGGUAAGAGCUGUGGGACUAUUUCUAAGGCAAUGGAGACCCUUGGUUCCAGAUAAAAGACUGACAGAGUUUAUAAACCCCAAGUGGAAAUGUCUUCCCUUCCUGCUUAUUUAUUAUCACAGAAUCUGUGCCUAAUAUGUGACUGACUUUUCAUAGCGUUUGACUGAUCCUGAACAAAGUCAGUGUGAAGCACGCCUCAGCUCACAGCCUCCCAUCUGGUUUUGGCCAAACUGAGUGGUGGGGAAUGUUAUCUAAUGCGCCAGAAUUUAGCUCCUGACCAUUUCUGAAAACAAGUUCUAGUUCUGUUUCUCUUUUCUCCCCAGCUGUAGGAAGGUAUAACUGGCAAAUAAAAAUUGAAUAGAUUACAACAAACAAUGCGAUAUUUUGCUCAGUUCUGUUUUUUUUAAUUGAUUUUAUUAAUUUUUAAAAAAUACACGACAACAGUGGUUAGUUCUAUUUCUUGGGACAGCUUUUCAUGUUCUGUGUUUGGGACGUUAAUAGCCAUUAUAUGGAGAAAUAAAAGGGGGGUCAUGUUUUAAUAAAUUUGGUGAAUUAACUCUAAGAAAGUCUUCUUUAUUAGAGGAUUUUCUCAGAAUAUUUUGUAUGCUAAUGUGUUUUAUGAACCUCAGGGGGCACUGCUCUUUGGCAUUUUCCAAGUUGUUUACCCACUCAACUCUUUUUCUUGUUGUCGUUUUUUCUUUUGUUUGUUUUUUGGUUCUGGGGUUUGAACCCAGGGGUGCUCUACAACUGAGCUAUCCCCAGCCCUUUUUGUUUUGAUUUUUUAUUUUGUGACAGGAUCUCAUGAAGCUGCCCAGGCUGGCCUUGAACUUUCCAUUCUCCUGCCUCAGCCUUCUGACUAGCUGGGAUGACAGGAGUGGCACCACCCAGGGCUUGACUCUGUUCUUGAUAGCCACAUCAUGACACUGCAUUGGAAUGGCUGGGGAAGCUUAGGUGUCCCACAGUUAUAAUGAGCCUGGUCCUUCUUCCCAGGCUGGCUUUCCAAAUACCUGUGCAUGGGCCUCAGGGAUAGUCUCCUCCCGUGUCUUCCUGACUUCUCCAUGGUGAGGUUCUCACCUUCCUCUGGAUCUCCUCUCUGGGGGCAGCUCCUCUGUGCCGGUGUUCCUCCUAAUGUGUGGGGUUCAGAACUGAGGAUAGUAGCCAUCCAUGGGUUUUGGGGUUAAUUCUGAUGGACAUCUUAGGAACGCUGGGGACACUUUGUUUUUGUUCCUUUAUUUCCAACCUGAUAGGGAGGGUUGAUGAAUCCUUGAUAUAGAAAUGAUGGAUAUUAAGAGGCUUGAGGAAUUUGGAGCAGUUCAGAUAACAAAUAGAAUGAUUCGUGGUUUUGAAGGUAUGAGGUGUCAAACAUUUGAGAGCUGUUAGGUGCAAAGCUCUAUGGAGGACAGACAAGAUCUGCACAUUCAUCUUUCUCUCAAAGAGCUAAUUGUUAAAUGAGGGAGGUGUUCAUAGAAAAGGCCAAAAUUACAAGAUAGCAUCACCCACUGUCAGAUUAACUAGAGCUAUUGGAGCUAAAGGAAGAUUCGCGACUAGCCAUCUUUAUGUUUCCUCCAUGGAAUCUCAUGCAUAUCCUCAGGAUGAACAAGCCUUGCAGAGGGACUGAAAGAGGUGGGCUUUGCUUGAAGGGGCUGUGUGCUCCCAAACAGCCUGGCACAAAGUGAAAUUUUGAUCACGGAAUGCUUUUCCCAAUGAUAUUUUAUAAAAUUAGAGAUGUGUUUUCUAGAAGAAGGUAAUGUUUACUCAAAGUCAGAAAUCAGGGCACACCCUGGAGUCGACCUCUACAAAAGUCAUGUGUUUAAAUGCCAAGACAGAGGAUUCUUUUUUUUCUGUUUUUUUUAAAGAGUCCAAAGUAUUAUUCAGAAUAAAUUAAGGAAUACAAAUACUCUCUUCUCAAGGCAGCUUUCAUAUUUGAGGAAGUUCAGUGUGGUUGGCAGGAACACAGAUGUUGGAGUGAGACCAUCUUGUUUCUGUCGUUAUUCUAAUUAUUGAGUGACUGAUCCUGGAUUUCUUAAUUUCUCAGGGUCUCCUUUCCUUCCUUCCCUCCUUCCUUCCUUCCUUCCUUCCUUCCUUCCUUCCUUCCUUCCUUCCUUCCUUCCUUCCUUCCUUCCUAUCUUUUACGUCUUCCUUUCCUUUUUAUUUAAAAAAUAUGGCGUAUUCAAUAGUGUGACCUCCUAGGCUUGGCAGGAGUGUUAAUGGGUUUCUGAACACAAAGCACUCAAAACACUUAGGAAAACCUCAUUAUUAUGUAUUUAUUGCUAUAUAACAAAUUGCCAUUUGUUGUCAUUAUUUAUUGUCUUUGUCUAUUUUUGAGGGGCUGGACUUCAGAACAACUUAGCUGGGAGACUGGCUGGAGAUUUUUCAUGAAGUUACAGUUGGCUCUCUGCUGGUGCUGAGUCACGUGGAGGCUCACCUGGGCUGGAGGACCCAUCUCCAAGGCAGUUCUCAUAUGGUUGGGGACUGGUCCCCCCUGGUGGGAUGCCUCACUUCACCUUGGCAGGGGCGUCUCCACAGGGUGGUGGAGGACCUCACACCAUGGCGGCCAACUCCCAUAGAGCAGAGGUCUAAGAGGCCAAGGUGAACUGCAAUGCCUUUUAUGACCUAAUUUUGGGAGUCACACGCUGUCACUUCUCCUCUAUCCCACUCUUAUUCAGUGUGGGAGGGGACUCUAUGAGGCAUGAUUGUGAGGAGGUGGCCAUCCAUGGGGGUUAUCUUGGAGCUGGCUACUGCGGCCAUCAAGGAGGUACUGUGUCCUGUUAUGUGAACUGACAUUAGGUAAAGGACACUUAAAUAAGAAUAUUGUAAAAUCCUGCAGCCUCAGCAUUGUUUUCUAAAAGGACAGUUUUAUAACAGGACUCCAUUGCUGUAAAGCACAUAUCAGGUGCUUUGGUUUACACUUACUUGAAAGAGGAACCUGAAACAAGGCCUUGGGUACCAGGAGUUUAUUUGGAAGCAGGAGGGAGGGAGGAGGGAUGUGAGGUGAGGAAGGAAGAAGAGCCACAUGGGGGUUGCUACUCCAGCCUCUGUGGACUGGAUUCCUCUGGGACCUUCUAGGAGGGCUACAGAAGGCCUCCCAGCAUUGUCCUCCGGAAGUGUGGAUGACCUGCACACUGGCUCCCAACUCCAGGGUUUCUACUGGGGGCUUAGCUUCCCUUGCACUUCAGAUCUGGAUUUGCAUUCUGGCUGGGGUUCUCCAUGAUGUUGGAGAAGGUCUGAGAGGAAGCAGAACCCUUGGCUCUUGGAGGAAGGAUGCUGUCAUCACAGGGUGAGUCUGAGCUCACCCAGCUGUGGUGGAAACCAGAGGAGGCUGAGGGACUUGGCGGGGAUGCAAGAGGCACUUGCUUCAUCGUGUUUUCAGGAGCUGGGGUUUGGAGGCUGUGUUAGUUCAGCUCCUCCAAGGAGCAGGUGUCAAGACCGGGUUAGAAGGAGGAGAAGUGAGUUGGGGAAAUAUGCCUUGAGGAUGGUGGGGAGGGAGCUAGUGGAGGCUGGGAAAGCCCAGGACAGUGAUGCAGUCUGACCCUGGGGAGGAGAGAGGGAGGAAGUAAUGUGGGGCUGAAAGAAUCUUAGACUGUGAUUCAGGUCUGGGAAAGGUUCAGCAAGGCCAGUGCCGAGGCUUCAAGCCAAAGUCUCCCAUUGGUAGAGUCUUGGGUUCGGCAGCACUGGACAACUUUGUGUCCAGCUGGUGUGAAGUGUGACUUUAGUGCAAACGCAGAGGUAGGUCAGAGCAUCUCAGCCUGGCAAUCAGGCAGUCACCCUCCCUCACUACCAGUGGGAAAGGCACAUUUCUAUCACCACAGGAGUGUUAUUCAUAAGCUACGACAGGCAUGUAUUUGGGGAACCAGAGUUAUUUACUGUGAAAUAUUAGAGGUCUCCUUCUUCUUUCUGCCACAUUGCCUGAAAUUCUCCCAUAAGGUACUAAUUCCUGUGUUUCAUUGUUGCCCUCUCUUCCAGGUCAACUCUGGGAGAAAGAAUGCGUCACGUCACCAAUACUUCAGCAUGAACAAAUCAUUCAAAUGCUUUUUUUUUCAGUUUUUAUUUUUAAAAAUAUUUAUUUGUUCUUUUUAGAGAUACAUAGCAGAAGAGUGUAUUUUUACAUAUCAGACAUACAUGGAGCAUAACUUCCCAUUCGUGUGGUUGUAUGUGACGUGGAGUUACAUGGGUGGCCUCUUCAUGUAUAUACGAACCUAGGAAACUUAAGUCCGAUUCAUUCUAUUGUCUUUCCUAGUCCCACCCCCUUCGUUCAAAUUCUCUUAAUGUCUAAUAGAAGGGAUCUGGGACAACUCAAGGGCAUGUGAAAUUUGGGCAAGUGGCAACUAUGGAAAGGGACUCAGAUACGAGGCAGUGGACACACACACACACACACACACACACACACACGGGCACACCUUCACUUGUGCCAAUAUCUCGUUCCUGCUGGAAAUGGGACAAAACCAACAUCCAGUCUGCAGUGGAACAGCAGGUGAAAUGUGCUUCCAUGAAACGUCUGUUGGUGCCACUUUUCCCUAUCACCUGAAGUUUUUGAAGGGGAAUGUAUUUUUCUGGGUGGUUUGAGAAAUUAAGUAAAUGUUUUCUAAGUGACUGGAAUAUAUGAGUAGAGAAAAGGAGCAGGAGAUCCUCAGGGUUCUCAGCAGGUGAUCCGUGGGCCACCUGCUUCGGAAUCCUGUCUUCCUCCCCUCUCACGUCCCCACACUGCAGACCAAGUGACUCAGAAGGUCUAAGCCAGAAGCCAGCACUUGGACAAGGAUUUCUGGUGAUUUUUGUGAAGACUAGAAUUUGAGAACCACAGGUUCAAGGAUAAUUAUAGUGGGACAAAGGACACAAAGACCAUCGCUAGGGGAGUUGAGCUCUGACACAUAAUCAAGAUGUUCCCUAUCUUCUCUUCAGAAUUCCAGACGCCAGCUUCUGUCUCCAACUCCCAGUGGGUCCUUCAAAAUUCCAAACUCAACUUGUCCCCGGCCAAAUACCUCAUCACCUGGCUGUUGCAGAGGCUUCUCCACCAGCCUUCCCCAGCAUGGCAAAAGACCACUCCGUCCUUUUGGUUUGCGCAGACCAGGCACAUCUGCCUUUUCUCCCUUCCCCUCGCUUUCCCUCUUUCUCCCCAUAUUUAUCCAAAUAGCUCAGCUUCACAACAUGCCAGAAUCAUCUCAGCACAGUUCUGCCCUUCACGGCGGGCCUAGCUGCCAUGAACCUGGCUUGCCUUUCCACAGUGCCUCCCGACCUUCUCCCUGCCUGUGCCCUUGCGCUCCCUCCCUCUCCAACCACUGCAAGGCCACCCUCAGCAGCCACAGUGACCCUCUGCUCAAAGCCAUCCAUCCGUUCCCAACCUCUCCUCAACUGGACACCUAAGUCCUCAGAGUGCCUUGGUCAGGACCCUAGCUGCCCCUCACUGCCUACAACUUUCUCCAGUAUCUCCUGUGCCCCAGCCUCACUAGUCGCCCUGCUGUUCUGGAGCACACUGAGCAUGACCCUGCCGGAAUCUCGGCACUGACUGUUCUUCCUGGACCACUCUUCCCUCAGAUGUCUGAGUAGCUCUCUCCCUUGUCUCCUUUACUUCAAUAUUACCUCCUCAGGGUCCCCUACUAUUUAAAAUUGCAGCCCUUCACAGUCUGCCUUCCCUUUCCCUGUCUUGAUUUCUUUUUCGUAGCACUGGGCAUAUUCUAAUGCUCUAUGUAAUUUAUUAUGCUUAUUUCUUAUCUCUUCCCAAUAGAAGGUAAGCUCUGCAUAGGCAGAAAUUUUUGCUUAUUUUAUUCACUGCUGUAUUUCAGGAUCUAGAACUAUGCCUGGAACACGAGAGAUCCUCAGUAAAUUAGUUUGUUAAGUGACAGUGGUGUGGCACGUGAUUUUACGAAAUGAUUCCUCAUAGAGAAUUUGCCAUAUCUAGAUUUAAAAAAAUGGUCUACUGGCCUAGACCACCCAUGGAAACAUACAUGUCAUUUCAAAAUAGCUGGCAGGAAACUUAUCCAUUGUGUCCUGUGGCUCUGGGAACCCUCCCAAGCAUUUUUACCAGCAUUAUCUUUUUAUUCCAAGAGUCAACCCUGUGAUGGGGGUCCACUUUUAUCCUUAUUUUUCAAAUGGGGAAGUUGAGGCUCAGGCAGGUUAAGAACUUGCUCAAGGAUACAGUUAGUAAGCCACAAAAUUAGAAUUUGAACCUAAAUUGGGAGAGUCCAAAGCUUUUGUGUUUAGCCAGUAAGUACACUGCUGACUCACAGAGUAGACCGCCUUAAUGGUGCCUAACCUCUGCGGUAUGCCUCUUUAAAGCUUAAAGCUGUGCUUCAUACACUUUUAAAGAUCUGUUUUGAUUAUACUAAUAUUACUGUGUUGUUUAUUUAGUUAAGGGUUUCUGUUGGCAUUUGUAGGAACAUGUGCUCUUAUCCCCAUGAGCUUUUUAGAUUUUUAGAACUUGUUGAUCGCUUGGCUCUGCCAGUUCUUAAGCUGCUCAAAGGAAUCCUGUAACUUCAAACACUCCCGCUGGCUCCCACUGGACUUUUAGAUCCCUCUAGGGGCCCCUCUGAAGGCAUUCAUCACAGGCUGCCUCAUUGUAUUUAUUCUACUGAAUUCAAGUCAACGGUUUCUCGAGUAUCCCAAGAAAACAGGCUGCUGUCCAGGCUCUGCAGACAGGAGUUAGAGGCUACAUGGUUCUUGCCCCUCAGGCUGUCACUGGAGCCAGCGAGAAUACAGGAGCCCUGUGGAGCCACAUGGAGCAGAGACACUCCUCCCAGGCACAGGAGCCAAGCUUGGCUGAGCCGGUAGUGGGAUGAGCUUGUCUGGGGGCAGGGGUAGGGGACAGAUGGCCCUCGGGAGGUGAAGCUGAGGUAGGCUUGAGGAAGUGUUGGGUUAGGGAGGCAGUGAAAGAGAGCCUGAGUCAUAUGCAGGGUGCGGUGACAUGUGAUGUGUUGGGGACACCAUGUGAACCUGGUGUGGAGUGGGCAGUGCUGAGAAGAGGGUGACAGUGAAAUGAUUGCUUUCAAACUGUGCAGGGCUGGGGAGGAGGAAGUGAGGAGUCCAUGACCCUUGUGGAGGGUUUGGAGGGAAGGGGUACAUAACCAGUUUGAGACUGUGGUUCUGCAAUAGAGUGGGGUGGGUGGGAUCAUGACCCAUAGUGACCGUGUAUCCCCCUUUCCAGAGGAAACCUCUGCCCAGGGAAAAGCAUUUCUUUAUUCUUUUUUUUUUUUUUUAACUUUAAAGAAUUUAAGUUUUAUGGUGCAUGCUAAUUUUACAGAAUGGUGGAUUUCGUUAUGGCACUCGGUCAUAAUAAUAAUACUACUUCUCCUUGCUUCCCCUCCUUUCACCUGCUCCCCUCUUUCCCCUUCUUGAAUCCUAUUGGUCUCCUUUCUACUUUCAUGAUGCGUCCCCCCCGCCCCACCACAUCCACUAGCUUCCACAAUGAGAGAAACAUAUGCUACUUCCCUUUCUUGUCUCUGGCUCCCUUCUCUUAACAUGAUGUUCUCCAGUUCCCUCCAUUUUCCUGCAAAUGCUAUAAUUUCAUUCUUCUUUAUGGCUGAAUAAAUCUCCGUUGUGUGUGUGUGUAUAUAUAUAUAUCACAUUUUUCUUUUUUCAUUCAUCUGUGGAUGGACACCUAGGCUGAUUCCAUAGCCUGGCUAUUGUGAGUUGCAUUGAGAUAAACAUGAGUAUGCAUGGAUCUCUACCCUCUGCUGACUAAUUCUUUUGAGUAAACACCAAGGAGUGGUCUAGUUGCUGGAUCAUAUGGUAGUGCUAGCUUUAGUUUUUUGAGAAGUCUCCAUAUGGAUUUCCGUUGUGGCUGUGUUAAUUUACCUUCUCAUCAAUGGUGUAUACACCUUUUCUUCACAUCUUCACUGGUAUUUAUUUUUAUUUGUAUUCUUGAUGAUUGUCAUUCCCAGGCAGACCAUUUCAUACUCAUAUUCUGUGCCCUGGAGGGCUGGGUUUAGAGCAGACACUCAGUGACUACAUAGAGUAAGUGUAUGUUUACCUCAUCCAACUUAUUAUUUCUGUAAGUUUUUCUUUUUUUUUCAUGGAGAUUUUCUUUUGAGUAGAAUGAUUGGGACUAGGGGAAGAUAGCAGAAAAGCUCUCUGAUCUCCCACUGACUCUACCUCGGCUGGCAACUGUGGGCCACAGGCUUCAGUUUCUUUGCACAUUGAUCUACUCACUGUCAGAUGAAAAAUAUUCCUCUUUCAAGCAUUUUUUUAAAAAAUGUUUGACUGCUCUGGGCUGCUUCCUGGUCAGAAGAAACACAUCUGGUAGAGGACUAAUAAUAGGAAUAGGUAUAGUAGGAUUGUGGAAAUGGAAUCAUUCAAGGCCAGAAUGGUCAGGUAUUUAGGUGACCAAGGCUACUAACUGUCCACAGAAGCAAAAGGUAUCUCCCAAAAUAGAUAGAUUUUCUUGAAUCCUUGAUCUUUUAAUUUUUUAUAGUCAAUUUGUAAAUUGAAUUAGAAGCUGGGCAUGAUGGCACACACUUGUAAUCCCAGAGGCUUGGGAGGCUGAGGCAGGAGAAUUACAAGUUCAAAGCCAGUCUCAGCAAGUUAGUGAGACCCUAUUGUAAUGCCAGAUUCGUGGGACCCCAAUAGACCUCCAGGAGCCGAAUCCGAUGCAAUCACACAAGAGUCUUUAUUGCAAGCUCGAGCCUGGACUCACAAUCGUUCCUGACACAGCAGUCCCAGGGAGUAGUCCCGGUCCUUUGUUCAGUGAGAUUUUAUAGGUUUUUUUUGGGAUACUCUAUGCAUCACAACAUCACACAGCAAAUCAUUCCAUAUCGCGGGAAAGUCAAACAAGAACUCUUAACAUUGAUUAGCACAUUCACUGGUGGGAACAAGUUGGGUAGCGGUGAUUGGUCAGAACAAGAGGGGGAUUCAUUUGAACUGAUUGAUUUAGGCCACGAGGGGUGUAUGUGCCAAACUACAUGGUUUCCCAACAUGUUAUCAACCACCAUAAACUACUGGGGGGGUCAUCAGUCAUCCCAGGUAUUUUCCCUGUCUCAUGCUGAUUGGUGGUUGCUAGGGGGUUGCUAUGGGUCCUCACCUAGCCUAACUGCGUCAGGGACACCUAGCGCCAAAGAUCUCUCCUUUUAUUUACAGACAAACAACUCAGCAGUGUGGGUAUGUGCUUAGGGGUGCUCUGUGGGUUUUUCCAAGGAUAAGGGUCACGCCCCCUUCCUUGAACAGGUUUUGCUCUGAGGUAGAGGCUGGUUUCUCAAAAGUGGAGUCACAUCAGUUUCUCACUAUCUCUAAUGAAAAAUAAGAAGGGCUGGGGAUGUGGCUCUGUGGUUAAAGCACUCCUGGGUUCAAUCCUUGGUACAAAAAAAAUUAAAAUAGAAAAAGAUGUAUAGUCUUUAAAAUAUAAUGAAAACAAAACCCAAAAAACAAAACAAAACAAAACAACAACAACAACAACAAAACCCCAAACCAUCUACCAUUAACUAUUUGGAGGAAUGGAAAUAAUUAUGAAUUUUUUUUGCAUGGCUUAAUUACAAUAUCUAUUUUUAGUAGAAAUUUGAACAAUGUAUGCUUCAUUCUGUUGAUGCUUAUGGACUUAUCUUCAGAGAAACUAAGGGAGGGAGGGAGGGAGAGAGAGAGAGAGAGAGAGAGAGAGAGAGAGAGAGAGAGAGAGAGAAAGGCCCCCUGACAUUUUGCUAUCUGUCUGCAUUGGCAAGUUUAUUAAGAAAUAGAACUAAAAUUAGCAAGAAGCAAAUAUUAUCCACCAAGUGCAAAACAUUAUCCCUGGCCAAAAAGACUUGGCCUGGAACUUAACCCUAAAGUUGAGUCCAUUUCUCCGUAUGCUGAAAGCUGGUCUGUGUACCUGUUCUGUUGGUACCAUUUUCUCAAAGUCCACACACUAAUGAACUGGUGAUUGUGGUUGGAAUUGCCUUUUUAUCUGCCUCAAUCCAAGAGCCAACCAUUUAAAACUUAUUCAGAAUUAAGAAUCCAUAGUAGUCAAUAGAGAAACUACUCUACAGGUCUACAUCAUGCUCUACUAUAUUUAUUCUAUUGAGUCCUUAUUUUUCCUGGGAAAAUGAUGAACCCUUCCAUUUUUGUAUUGUUUCAUAAUUGAAAAAGUGCCUUUCAUCCAUUACCCCAUGGCAAUCAGCAAUCUUCCUACUCUGUGAGGAAAUCCAAGCUUCUGAUAUUUUCCUAAAGUCUCUUGGCUAGCACCUGACAGAAUCCUGUCCAGUAUCUUUAUAUACUGACUCUUAGAUCAGGAUUUGCUCCCCCCAAAUCUAUAAAUUUUUAUAAAACUGCAGCAAAGCUGCAAAUGUAAGUAGGGAAAUCAAUAAUGUUCUAAUUUCUAACUACUUGAUUCAAGCAGAAAUCAAUAGCACAAAUUGAAAUAAAAAGGCCGUUAACAUUUAUUGAACACUUAUGUGCUUGGCAUUAAGAAGUACAUGUGUUAUCUUUUUAGAUUUUCCUGAUGACCCUGAGAUGGAACAUUAUGUUCACUUCCAGUGUUACAGACGAGAAAAAGAACUUCUAUGAGUUAACAAAAGACUAAAUAUUUAUGCAGCUAGUGACUAGCAGAACUGUGUUCCAACCCACAUUGGUUAGGUGCCAGAGAUAAGGGCUUUCCCACUCUUUGACUCUCUAGGAAAGUCUAACAGAGGUUGUUUUUAUAUGACAAAGAACAGCAAUAAACAUUCAUUGGGUGCUUCCUCUGUGCAGACAGAGCUGUCUGUUGUACAUUCAAUUUCUCUUUUUCUUCUUACAACAGAUCGCGAAGGAGGAACAAUUAUUGCUCCUUUGAUAGGUAGGAUCCUCAUAAUCAUCAUUCCUGUGAUUGCUAAAAUGUUGCUCAUACAAAAAGGUGAAGUCUUCUCUCUCUGCUUCUUGACCACCAUGUGAGCUGCUUCCCUCUGUCGCACUCAUCCGCCAUGAUGUUCUGCCUCAACUUGAGCCCUGAGGAAUGGAGGCGGCCUUCUACAGACUAAGACCUUUGAAACCAUAGCCCUCUAAUAAACUUUUCUUCCCCUAAAAAAAAAAAAAAAAAAAGAAAGAAAAAAGAGUGAAGUGUCUUGCCCAAGUCCUCAGGGUUAGUAAGUGGCAGAUCUGGGAUCUGAACCCAAAUAACAGUUCUCCCAGAAUUUGGGCACUUACUGUCCAUCAAAUGCACCAGGUUGUCCCUAGUUUUGAUGAGUCUUGGAAGGUAUGAGAUGGGUCAGGAUGCUGGGCCUCCCUAGGCAUGUCAAAGGAACAAUGUUAAGGCUUCCUGGACAAGCUAGUGAUACACAAACUUUUCCUACAAGGAAAGGAAGAAUUUAAUAGGAACUUUCUAUGAGCCCUUUGUCACAGAAAGAGUCUGUCUGGAAACCUACUUAUUGGAACUUGAACACUAAAUAUGCAUCAAAGACUUGUCAUUCUAAGGCAGGAGUUUGCAUAAGUCAGAAGUUUGUUUACUCCCAUGAGUCUGAAUAAAGAUCAAGGUUAGGUUAAAUAGCUAUUAAUAACAGUUGGAGUUGAGUAAGAGAAAAAAACAAACCUCUGGGACUGGUUGCUUUAGUCUCUUCGAUAGAUGAUCAGGCUAAUACUUGCUACUGGUUUAUUUUAUAUUAUUAUUAUUGUUAUUGGCUUCAGGUGCACCAAAUUAAAUCAGUCAUAACCUUGGCUUGUAACACACUGUCUACACUCAUCCCUGCUCCUUGUUUAUGCUGAUAUUGUUCCAAGUAAUUCUAUUGUAAAGUGCAAUUGAGAUCACAUUCCAAUACACACUCCUGGGUUCUCUGGGUUUGGAUCUACAGCUUGUGGGUGGA
rnacentral:lncRNA from 1 species